AUUGAACGCUGGCGGCAGGCCUAACACAUGCAAGUCGAGCGGCAGCGGGAAAGUAGCUUGCUACUUUUGCCGGCGAGCGGCGGACGGGUGAGUAAUGCCUGGGAAAUUGCCCAGUCGAGGGGGAUAACAGUUGGAAACGACUGCUAAUACCGCAUACGCCCUACGGGGGAAAGCAGGGGACCUUCGGGCCUUGCGCGAUUGGAUAUGCCCAGGUGGGAUUAGCUAGUUGGUGGGGUAAUGGCUCACCAAGGCGACGAUCCCUAGCUGGUCUGAGAGGAUGAUCAGCCACACUGGAGCUGUGACACGGUCCAGACUCCUACGGGGGGCAGCAGUGGGGAAUAUUGCGCAAUGGGGGAAACCCUGAUGCAGCCAUGCCGCGUGUGUGAAGAAGGCCUUCGGGUUGUAAAGCACUUUCAGCGAGGAGGAAAGGUCAGUAGCUAAUAUCUGCUGGCUGUGACGUUACUCGCAGAAGAAGCACCGGCUAACUCCGUGCCAGCCGCCGCAGUAACAC
rnacentral:rRNA from 1 species